UUUGCCUACGGGGGGCAGCAGUGAGGAAUAUUGGUCAAUGGGCGGGAGCCUGAACCAGCCAAGCCGCGUGAAGGAAGAAGGCGCCAGGCGUCGUAAACUUCUUUUGUCGGGGAACAAAGGGCGCCACGCGUGGCGUUGUGAGUGUACCCGAAGAAAAAGCAUCGGCUAACUCCGUGCCAGCAGCCGCGGUAAUACGGAGGAUGCGAGCGUUAAUCGGAAUUACUGGGCGUAAAGCGCUCGUAGGCGGUAUGUCAAGCCAAGGGUGAAAUCCCCGCGCUCAACGUGGGAACUGCCUUUGAAACUGG
rnacentral:rRNA from 1 species